UAGGGAACCUAAAACUGCUCACAAUCCCCCAAAGCAAGCUGACCAAUGCCUUCUGAAGCCUCAGAAUUACAUCCUUGUGUUUAUAAUAUAUUGUUCUGGAAAUGAAUGCUAAUAUUUCAUUUGCCUUUCUUACUACCGACUCAACCUGCCAGCUAACUUUUGGAAAUCCUGCACUAAGAUUCCUAAUGUUCCUUCGCAGCUCUGAAAUUCGUAACUUAGAAAAUAGUGUGUAUCUAUAUUCCUUCUUCCAACGUGCAUGGCCAAAUACUUCCUUGCACUAAUGUAUAAUUACAAUGGGUUCUGUCAAGACUGCACCUGGAAUAUUAAGUCUGUUCUCCAUAUGGAAGGAGGAGUACAAAGCGAUUCAACACAUUGAUCACUGGGCUGGGACAAUUUAUUCUGUGAGGACAGACUUUCCGGUAUCUGCAAAUAAUAGUCUUUCAAGUACGAAGAGCAAACCUUGGGAAGUUACGGCACUUGUACCUCCUCCCUGAUGGAAGCAGUGAGAAGAGAGCAUGACCCGGGCGAUGGGGGUUCUAGAUAAUGGAUUCUGCUUUCCUGCGACAGACCUCUAUCUAGAUGUGUUCAACGGCGGGGAGGACUGGGCUGAAUCCAUUACUUUUUGUAGAUAUUCACAUUCAAGGGCAUUGGUAUUCACAUGCUCGGUCAUGGUGCAACCAGUCAAUGUACUCUCCCCAGCAUAACUGAAGUUUCAGAUGAUAUGUUGAAUCUUCAUUUGUACAUGUGAUGAAUAAAGCUAAUCUCUUUAAUCUAUUUAACACAGACCAUUUAAAUGUCCAUGAAGUUCUAAAUCAUUUAAUAACUGCCAUCAUUGGAUUUGUAAUUGUUAUGAA